rnacentral:tRNA from 2 species
GAGGGUGUAGUUUAAAGUAGAACAGCAAUUCGUUGAGAGUUGCUAGUGUAGGUUCAACUCCUAUCUCCCUCG